CCUACGGGGGGCAGCAGUGGGGAAUCUUAGACAAUGGGGGCAACCCUGAUCUAGCCAUGCCGCGUGAGUGACGAAGGUCUUAGGAUCGUAAAGCUCUUUCGCUGGGGAAGAUAAUGACUGUACCCAGUAAAGAAGUCCCGGCUAACUCCGUGCCAGCAGCCGCGGUAAUACGGAGGGGACUAGCGUUGUUCGGAAUUACUGGGCGUAAAGCGCACGUAGGCGGAUUAGUCAGUCAGAGGUGAAAUCCCAGGGCUCAACCCUGGAACUGCCUUUGAUACUGCUAGUCUUGAGUUCGAGAGAGGUGAGUGGAAUUCCGAGUGUAGAGGUGAAAUUCGUAGAUAUUCGGAGGAACACCAGUGGCGAAGGCGGCUCACUGGCUCGAUACUGACGCUGAGGUGCGAAAGUGUGGGGAGCAAACAGGAUUAGAUACCCUAGUAGUC
rnacentral:rRNA from 1 species